rnacentral:rRNA from 1 species
AUGGAUGACCAAGAUUACUUAUUACUUUAUGAAGAUGAUGAUUCCUGCAUGUUGAUUGUGCUUCAAGGUAGAAGAGGAUGGGAGGAGGGGACACGCGCUCUAUAUUUUGUUAUGCACACCUUUCUAAACUAUACUUGUCUUCUUAACACAUGUUCAUUGUCCAGUAGAAGCUGUAGAUUUCAGCGUACAAUAAUUUCCAAAAUGGCAGAAGUCUCUGCGCCAUUUGGCCAUUUGGUCUUUCUCCUGUCGCCAGCGCUUCUUCUUCUCGUCUGUCCUGCUGCUAACCCAACAUGCUUCUGCUUGCUGCCUCGGGUUGUACGAUCUCUUCUGUCGCUGCGUCGUUCGACUCAUCAAGGACAACGGUGA